UACGUAGGGUGCAAGCGUUAAUCGGAAUUACUGGGCGUAAAGCGUACGCAGGCGGCUAUGUAAGACAGGUGUGAAAUCCCCGGGCUUAACCUGGGAACUGCAUUUGUAACUGCAUAGCUAGAGUCUGUCAGAGGGGGGUGGAAUUCCACGUGUAGCAGUGAAAUGCGUAGAGAUGUGGAGGAACACCGAUGGCGAAGGCAGCCCCCUGGGAUAAGACUGACGCUCAUGCACGAAAGCGUGGGGAGCAAACAGG
rnacentral:rRNA from 1 species